rnacentral:rRNA from 1 species
GCCUAAUACAUGCAAGUCGAACGCAAUCUUUGACUAAUGAGUGCUUGCACUCAGCGGUCAAAGUGCGAGUGGCGAACGGGUGAGUAACACGUGGGCAAUCUGCCCAAAAGUGGGGGAUAACACUUGGAAACAGGUGCUAAUACCGCAUCAACCGGCUGACCGCAUGGUCGGCCGGGCAAAGACGGCGUCAGCUGUCGCUUUUGGAUGAGCCCGCGGCGUAUUAACUAGUUGGUAAGGUAACGGCUUACCAAGGUGAUGAUACGUAGCCGAACUGAGAGGUUGAUCGGCCACAUUGGGACUGAGACACGGCCCAAACUCCUACGGGAGGCAGCAGUAGGGAAUCUUCCACAAUGGACGCAAGUCUGAUGGAGCAACGCCGCGUGUAUGAAGAAGGUCUUCGGAUCGUAAAAUACUGUUGUCAGAGAAGAACACGUGAUAGAGUAACUGCUAUGGCGCUGACGGUAUCUGACCAGCAAGUCACGGCUAACUACGUGCCAGCAGCCGCGGUAAUACGUAGGUGGCAAGCGUUGUCCGGAUUUAUUGGGCGUAAAGGGAACGCAGGCGGUCUUUUAAGUCUGAUGUGAAAGCCUUCGGCUUAACCGGAGAAGUGCAUUGGAAACUGGAAGACUUGAGUGCAGAAGAGGAGAGUGGAACUCCAUGUGUAGCGGUGAAAUGCGUAGAUAUAUGGAAGAACACCAGUGGCGAAAGCGGCUCUCUGGUCUGUAACUGACGCUGAGGUUCGAAAGCGUGGGGAGCGAACAGGAUUAGAUACCCUGGUAGUCCACGCUGUAAACGAUGAAUGCUAGGUGUUGGAGGGUUUCCGCCCUUCGGUGCCGCAGCUAACGCACUAAGCAUUUCCGCCUGGGGAGUCCGAUCGCAAGAAUUGAAACUCAGGGGAAUUGACGGGGGCCCGCACCAGCGGGGGAGCAUGUGGUUAAAUUCGAAGCAACGCGAAAGAACCCUACCAGGUUCUGAACUUCUUUUUGACCAUCCGGAGAAGAUCAGAAAAUUCCCUCGGGGGACAAAAAAGAACGGGGGGUGCAUGGCUGUCCUCCA